AAGGGGAGUGCCGGAUCCUGGGCCGUGUCCCCCAGUGCCCUGGUCCCCAGGGCCUGCACCACUGGAAUUGUGCUCCCGGGCCGCGCAGCCCCUC
rnacentral:pre_miRNA from 1 species